rfam:Schistosoma haematobium scaffold493_5, whole genome shotgun sequence.
GUCCAGCUGACGAAUCCCAAAUAGGACGAAACGUGCGUCAGACUGGAU